CACGAAGCUGGAAUCGCUAGUAAUCGCGAAUCAGAAUGUCGCGGUGAAUACGUUCCCGGGUCUUGUACACACCGCCCGUCACACCAUGGGAGUCGGGAAUGCCCGAAGUCAGUGACCCAACCAUAUGGAGGGAGCUGCCGAAGGCAGGUCUGAUAACUGGGGUGAAGUCGUAACAAGGUAAC
rnacentral:rRNA from 1 species